rnacentral:rRNA from 1 species
UACGUAGGGUGCGAGCGUUGCCCGGAUUUAUUGGGCGUAAAGGGCGCGUAGGCGGUGAGAUGCGUCCGUUGUGAAAUCGCCCGGCUCAACUGGGCGGGGUCAGCGGAUACGGUCUCACUUGAGCAAGCUAGGGGGCAAUGGAAUUCCCGGUGUAGUGGUGGAAUGCGUAGAUAUCGGGAGGAACACCAGUGGCGAAGGCGGCCUUCUGGACAGUGACUGACGCUGAGACGCGAAAGCGUGGGGAGCAAACAGG